rnacentral:rRNA from 1 species
GAUGAACGCUGGCGGCGUGCCUAAUACAUGCAAGUCGAGCGAACAGACGAGGAGCUUGCUCCUCUGACGUUAGCGGCGGACGGGUGAGUAACACGUGGAUAACCUACCUAUAAGACUGGGAUAACUUCGGGAAACCGGAGCUAAUACCGGAUAAUAUAUUGAACCGCAUGGUUCAAUAGUGAAAGACGGUUUUGCUGUCACUUAUAGAUGGAUCCGCGCGGCAUUAGCUAGUUGGUAAGGUAACGGCUUACCAAGGCAACGAUGCGUAGCCGACCUGCGAGGGUGAUCGGCCACACGGGAGCUGAGACACGGUCCAGACUCCUACGGGAGGCAGCAGUAGGGAAUCUUCCGCAAUGGGCGAAAGCCUGACGGAGCAACGCCGCGUGAGUGAUGAAGGUCUUCGGAUCGUAAAACUCUGUUAUUAGGGAAGAACAAAUGUGUAAGUAACUGUGCACGUCUUGACGGUACCUAAUCAGAAAGCCACGGCUAACUACGUG